rnacentral:tRNA from 1 species
GGCGACGUAACCAAGGGGCAAGGUACCCGAGACGGCAACUCGGGGUUCGCGGGUUCGAAUCCCGCCGUCGCCU